rnacentral:rRNA from 1 species
CCUACGGGGGGCAGCAGUGGGGAAUAUUGCACAAUGGACGGAAGUCUGAUGCAGCAACGCCGCGUGCGGGAUGACGGCCUUCGGGUUGUAAACCGCUUUCAUCCAUGACGAAGCGAGAGUGACGGUAGUGGGAGAAGAAGCACCGGCUAACUACGUGCCAGCAGCCGCGGUGAUACGUAGGGUGCGAGCGUUGUCCGGAUUUAUUGGGCGUAAAGAGCUUGUAGGCGGUUUGUUGCGUCGGAAGUGAAAACUCAGGGCUUAACUCUGAGCCUGCU